AAGAAACCGUCGGCCCCUUUCGUACAGGGGGUUUGGAUGGGCGGAUCCUCUCUAAUCCCCUUCGAUCCUCCCGAACCCACGCGACUCAGAACCCUUGUCGAAGGGCUCAGGGAAUCUCUCGACCGAGCGCACGCCGCCAGCCACGGAGGGGAGGAGCCCCGCCGCCGGAUCUUCAACGCCGCCGCCACCAAGGGGAAGAGCCCCGCCGCCGCCACCGAGGGGAGGAGCCCCGCCGGCGAGAGGAGGAGCCCGCCGCCGCCGCCCGAUUCUACCUGACGCCCCGACGCCGCCCGACGCCGGCGUUACUCCUCCAGAAUACUGGCGUUCUCCCUGGUGGUAAGUCAUCGCCGCCUCUCCCCUCCUCUCCCCACCUCUGUCCUAACCCUACCCGGCGAGCUCGCCAAGAACGUUGUCCUCUUCUAGCCCCUCAUCGACCCUAACCCUACCCGGCGAGAUUGCCGUGAUUUUCUGAUGGUGAUGGUGAUGGUCUGAUGGAUCUUGGGGGAUUGACAGUUUGUAAACUACAUUUUUCACCGUAGGUGGUGAUCUGAUGUUGAUGGUGAUUGAAGUGUGGUGUAGAGCUGUUAAUUAGUGAUGGUCUGAUGUUGUGGUAUCUGAAGUCUAAACGACAUCUUUCUUGUUUGUAGCCGCUGUUUACUAAUUCAUGAACAAAUCUACUGCCUUCCUUUCUUUGUCAUUUGUAUUUGUAUAUACUGUAUACUCUGAUUUGGGUGCUUGUUCUGAUUUGUAGCGACUGACAUAGCAAAGUGAAUCGUCCUGCCGCACAGGUCAACCGGGACAGAGAGAUUCACUGGCUUUGCUGGUGUGCAUUAUGAUGUUUCCGAGAUGAGAUCACUCGGCAAAAUUUUACAAAUGUGUUUUUAAGGAUACCUGCUACGGUGCGGUGGAAUCAGUGUUUGGCAAUAAAGAAACAGUGAUGAUACAUGUUUGUUUAAGUAAUAUAGAGUAUAGUUGUUCUUGCUGGAUCGAGAGCACCUAUGCUAGCUUAGAUAUGAUACAUGUUUCUUCCACAGCCCAAAGGGGAUUAGCUUCUUCUCAGCCAUUGGAGUAAUGGACAGUGGGUGUGUUUAGACUAAAUCGUUCGUUUCCUUGGCUUGGAUCAGCACUAACUAAAUGUGCUGCCUCCAGUAGUGCAAUAACUCUACAGUGCAUCAUAAAUUGUUUGCUCAUCAGACUUUGUUGUGAGUUUUCUCUUCCACGAAAAAACUGUUCGGUCUGGAAGUUUCUGUAUUCUGUAUGUAGUUGGCUGAUUUUGGAGCAAUGGAUUGUGUUAUGAAUGUGUAAUCUCUCGCUGCUUGUUGGUCUGAAGAAAUAUUCAUGGGACUGCCCAGUAAAUGUUCAACGUUACUUGCGUGUCACAUCAGAUUCUUCUUGCUUUUGUGUUUGUUACUAUUUGAUUUAAUCUGGAAGUAGUUCUGUACCUCUUGAUGUAACUCUAACAAGGCCAUGAAAUAAUUCAUACUAUUUCUUCAUUGUACUUUUCCCUUUGCAAACAGUCUACAGCCUCUGAAGUUGAACGGAGCUUGCCUUUGUUCACUUUUUAAUUUUGUAUUUUGUGAUGAAGGCGCUACGGUUCCAUAUGCACGAUCUAUAGUUGUUAGUUGUUAAAAAAUCUCUGCCAUGCAGUUGUGCUCUUGAUAGUAGUAAUAAUGUACAGUAAGAUUUUAGGUCGAUGAUCCAUUUCAUAUAAUUCCUUGAAAUAUAUCUGAUCAUUGUUGUUUAUGCAAGGGAAAAGUCUCUUUGUUUGCUGACAUGAAUUUUGUUUUCCCUCCAGGUCCCACUGAACCAGGUUGAGAAGUGGAACAAGCAGAGGAAGAAUGUGACAUUGGCAGGGUCCCUCGAAAUCGUCUGUUUGAGAGUCUCGGUUGCUUUUGUGUCUGCGCUACUGCUGUCUUAUGGUUGGAAUUUAUGCUCCUGUCAUGUACUCUCUUCCAACAAUAGUUAAGCAUGCAGAACAUCAAGUGAUGCUUUUUUCUAUAUUGCAUAAAUAGUUAAGCAUGCUUAUGUAUUCUCAGCAUGCUUUUUUCUAUGUUGCAUAAAUAGUUAAGCAUGCUUAUGUAUUCUCAGCAUGCUUAAAUAUACGCAUGUCUUGCCUAGGACUUUUCUCUAUGUUCCAAGUCAUGCUGAUGUAAGAGAAUAUGUCGCUGUUAUGUGACAGCGCAAUUAUGUGAUGAUAUAUUGAUUCCAAGUCAAGCAAAUUAUGUUGUUCAUGUGAAGAACUGUUGCAAGAUUAGAUUUUUAACUGUUUUACAACAUUUUAAUUCAAUAUGGCAAUCCCUUUCUGUCAAACAGUGUUUUGUACGGAGGGGGAUUUGAGGGAUGUGUGGCUGGAGGGGGAUUUGAGGUUUCAAGGGGAUUGGGUGAAAGAGGGGGAUUCACCAAAUCCCCUGGAAUCCUCUCCUCCCAAAACCUCCACAAUCCCUUGCUGUCAAACAAGGCCUAAGGAAAACUGGAGGAUACACCCGGAUUGGGUUCAGAGGUAGGUGUUUUAUUUAUUUCUCUCAAGCAUGUAUAUUAAUGGGACACACUAACUAAAUUGUUAUGCUUUCUGAUAUGCAGGUUUAAAUGGGCUAGGCUUUUACCUUUUGCGCGUCUGGUUGGGGCCACUGAUACCUCUACAUGCCUUGGCAUUGACGCCUCUUUGCUCACCUGCUUAGUGGACUGAUGGAGGCCCGAGAUCCACACGUUUCACUUCCGUUGGGGAGAGAUGGCUCAUAAUUUGUAGGAUGUGUCACUUUUGUUGGGACCACUAUUCAAAAUAUCGGUCGAUUAUCGCUUAUCGGGGUCUGAUUGAUAAGAUAAGUGAAUAUCACUGGUAUUUAUCGGUCUAACCAAUAUAUCGAUCAUACAAUCGAUAUAUCACCGAUAUUCUCCGACAUUUGCCAAUAUUGACAAGUAAAUCUAUGGGACCCAACUGAUUUAGCUCCCGAUUUUUUUAUUUUGGUUGAGUUUUUGUGGUCUUGAUGCCUCCUAUUUGUGUAGAUGGCUACUUUCAAUACAUCCCAGGUCGUUUAAGAGGAAUACGGAUGACAUGGCUUACAAGUUUGCCAUGUUGAUUGAUCCAGAUGAUACAGAAAGCUGAGAUUUUUAAAAAACCUUGCCAAUAAAUAGUCUACCGAUAAAAUUGAUAAAUUGGCCGAUAAGUCGAUUUAUCUCUUAUCUUGGGUUGAUCGAUAAGUUGAAGCGGUAUCCUGAACAUUGGGUUGGACUACCGUUGGCGGUUCCUGCCAUUGGACCAUUCGAGGCACCAGCUCCUUGGGAGCAGGAAAUUGCACAACAUUUCCAGGGUGUUUAUGAGGGUGCUCCGACCUUUGCCUCGGAGCCUCACGGACCGCUUGAUUGGUUGCUUCAUUUUCGGGUUAGUUCACCUGUCUCAUAUCUUUUAUUUGUCAUGCAUUUGGUUUUACACGUACCUUCUCUAUUUACUAAUACCUUAUCUUUGCUCAAUACAGAUACAGAAGUUUCCGGCUAUCCACAAUUCCCCUUGAAUGCGACAUAGAUCACUCGGAGCCUGGAGGCAUACCUACCGUGGCUUCUCGGGAAGGUGAUGUUUACAGAGAACCAUGUCACUAGUAUUAGUGCAUGCUACAUCCCUAUUGCACCGGAGAUCGCGAGAGCUGAGUUGCUGGACCAGAUCACACAGAGGAGUUGGGGUUUUGUGGUUUUAGUGGUUACAUACCGAGGUAUGUGCAACGGUUGCCAACUUGUGUUGCAGAAGGCAGCUCUUCUUGGAUGCCCUCUAUUUUUACAGUUGUGGUCGUGGGGAGAGGUUCUCUAUAGGACAACCCAACAUACAUGUUGAAGAGGGUUGGCCUGUGGGGGAGCUUUUCGAUGCUGACCACAAUGACAUGCCUACUUUCGGUAUGUGCUGGACAUGUUGCAAGGUAUGUCUGAUCUUAUAAUUUUUUGCAUUUCCCCAUGUACACUAUGGUUGAAACUAACUUUUGUUUUGCGAAGAGAUGCUUUGCUAGUGAUCAGACUAGGUGAGCCUACAUGGCACUAAACAAGCAGUUCGAUUUAUACACUAGGGUGAUCUGGCAGCCGUACACGCAAGCAGCCAUAGAUGCAAGAUACCCCAACGGUAUUUCUGAGCUAUGCACAAGGGAUCAGGAUUACUGGAUGGCAAAAUCGAAGAUCAUCUUCGAUGUCUUCGUCGAGGGCAUGGCCCAACAGAGGGUUAUGAGGCAAUUUGGUCUUCGACAGUUGGUCUAGCCUUCGCCUACAGAGGCUCCGCUGCCACCAGUAGUCCACAUGUAUUGUCUACUUAUUCUAUGUUGGAUUUUCUUUCACAAUUGACCAUAGUGAAGCAUUACUUAAUUGUUGAACACACACCACAAUUUUAGGAUCACAAGGAAGGGGGUCAGCAGGACACAGACUCAGUGGCUGGAGAAGUGAUACGUCUCCGUCGUAUCUAUAAUUUUUUAUUGUUCCAUGCCAAUAUUAUACAACUUUCACAUACUUUUGGCAACAAUUAUAUGAUUUAUCGGACUAACAUAUUGAUCCAGUGCCAAGUGUCAGUUCCUAUUUGUUGCAUGUUUUUUGUUUCGCAGAAUAUCCAUAUCAAACGAAAUCCAGUGCCAAGUCUCAGUUCCUAUUUGUUGCAUGUUUUUUGUUUCACAGAAUAUCCAUAUCAAACGAAGUCCAAACGCGAUAAAACUUUACGAAGAUUUUUUGGAAUAUAUGUGAAUUUUUGGAAGAAGAAUCAACACAAGACGGUGCUCGAGGGGCCCACUGCCCACCAGGGCACGCCAGGGGGUGCCCGGCGUGCAGAUGGGUAGUGGGACCUUGUAAGGCGGUUGCUGCCCU
rnacentral:lncRNA from 1 species